AGAGACACUCAUAGCUCACCAGCAGUAGGCGAUAUCACCGAAAAAGCUACUUACAUAAGAUAAAAGUAUUAAAGACGACAGAAGAAGAUAGAAGAAAGCGACAGAAGAAGACAACGACAGAAGAAGACAACGAUGACAGAACAAGAAAGAAGAAGCAGGAAAUAGAGAGACAAAAAAGAAAGAAAAGAAGCAGAAAAAAAAAGCAUGAAAAAGAAAGAAAAAUUAAAGAAAAAUGAAAGAAGAAAGAAAAAAGAAAGCAGAAAGAUAAAGUUAAGAAGAAAGAAAAUAAUGUUUCUAUGCCUAUGUAUGGUAUUGCAGAACCCUUAUAUUGUCUUAUAGAUAAAAGUAUUAAAGACGACAGAAGAAGAUAGAGGAAAGCGACAGUAGAAGACAACGACAGAAGAAGACAAUGAUGACAGAACAAGAAAGAAGAAGCAAGAAAAAGAGAGACAAAAAAAGAAAGAAAAAUGAAAGAAAGAAAGAAAAAUGAAAGAAAGUAUUAAAGACGACAGAAGAUAGAAGAAAGCAUCAGAAGACAACAACAGAAGAAAACAACCGAUGACAGACAGAACAAGAAAGAAGAAGCAAGAUAGAGACAAAAAAGAAGAAGCAGAAAAAAGCAUGAAGAAAAAGAAAGAAGAAUGAAAAAAGAUUAAUGAAAGAAGCAGAAAGAUAAAGGUAAGAAGAUAGAAAAUAAUGUUUAUAUGCCUAUAUAUGGUAUUGCAGAACCCUUAUGUUGUCUUAUAGAUAAAAGUAUUAAAGACGACAGAAGAAGAUAGAGGAAAGCGACAGCAGAAGACAACGACAGAAGACAACGAUGACAGACAGAACAAGAAAGAAGAAGCAAGAAAAAGAGAGACAAAAAAGAAAGAAAGAAAGAAAGAAAGAAAGAAAGAAAGAAAGAAAGAAAAGAAAAAAGCAGAAAAAAAUCAUGAAGAAAAAGAAAGAUAAAGACGAAAGAAGAAGAUAGAAGAAAGCAACAGAAGAAGACAACAACAGAAGACAACGAUGACAGACAGAACAAGAAAGAAGAAGCAAGAAAAAGAGACAAAAAAGAAAGAAGCAGAAAAAAAGCAUGAAGAAAAAGAAAGAAAAAUGAAAGAAAGAAAAUGAAAGAAGAAAAAAGAAAGAUGCAGAAAGAUAAAGGUAAGAAGAGAGAAAAUAAUGUUUCUAUGCCUAUGUAUGGUAUUGCAGAACCCUUAUGUUGUUUUAUUUAUAAAAGUAUUAAAGAUGACAGAAGAAGAUAGAAUUAAGUGACAGAAGAAGACAACGACAUAAGAAGACAACGAUGACAGACAGAACAAGAAAGAAGAAGCAAGAAAAAGAGAGACAAAAAAGACAGAAAGAAAAGCAGAAAAAAAGCAUAAAGAAAAAGCAAGAAAAAUGAAAGCAGAAAGAAAAAUGAAAAAAAGAAAAAAAGAAAGAAGCAGAAAGCUAAAGGUAAGAAGAAAGAAAAUAAUGUUUCUAUGGCUAUGUAUGGUAUUGCAGAACCCUUAUGUUGUCUUAUAGAUAAAAGUAUUAAAGGCGACAGAAGAAGAUAGAGGAAAGCGACAGAAGAAGACAACAACAGAAGACAGCGAUGACAGACAGAACAAGAAAGAAGAAGCAAGAAAAAGAGAGACAAAAAAGAAAAAAAGAAAGAAAGAAAGAAAAGAAAAAGCAGAAAAAAAUCAUGAAGAAAAAGAAAGAAAAAUUAAAGAAGAAAAAUGAAAGAAAAAUGAAAGAAGAAAGAAAGAAAAAGAAAGAAGCAGAAAGAUAAAGGUAAGAAGAAAGAAAAUAAUGUUUCUAUGCCUAUGUAUGGUAUUGCAGAACCCUUAUGUUGUCUUAUUGAUAAAAGUAUUAAAGACGAAAGAAGAUAGAAGAAAGCAACAGAAGAAGACAACAACAGAAGACAACGAUGACAGACAGAACAAGAAAGAAGAAGCAAGAAAAAUAGAGACAAAAAAGAAAGAAGCAGAAAAAAGCAUGAAGAAAAAGAAAGAAAAAUGAAAGAAAGAAAAUGAAAGAAGAAAAAAGAAAGAUGCAGAAAGAUAAAGUAUUAAAGAUGACAGAAUAAGAUAGAAUUAAGUGACAGAAGAAGACAACGACAGAAGAAGACAAUGAUGACAGACAGAACAAGAAAGAAGAAGCAAGAAAAAGAGAGACAAAAAAGACAGAAAGAAAAGAAGCAGAAAAAAAGCAUAAAGAAAAAGAAUGAAAAAUGAAAGAAGAAAAAUGAAAAAAAGAAAAAUAGAAAGAAGCAGAAAGCUAAAGAUAAAAGUAUUAAAGACGACAGAAGAUAGAGGAGAGCGAGAGAAGACAACGACAGAAGAAGACAACGAUGACAGAACAAGAAAGAAGCAAGAAAGAGAGAGACAAAAAAAGAAAGAAAAAUGAAAGAAAGAAAGAAAAAUAAAAGAAAGUAUUAAAGACGACAGAAGAUAGAAGAAAGCGUUAGAAGACAACGACAGAAGAAAACAACCGAUGACGACAGAACAAGAAAGAAUAAGCAAGAUAAAGAGAGACAAAAAAAGAAAGAAGCAGAAAAAACCAGAAGAAAAAGAAAGAAAAAUGAAAGAAGAAAGAAAGAAAAAAGAAAGAAGCAGAAAGAUAAAGUAUUAAAGACGAAAGAAGAUAGAAGAAAGCAACAGAAGAAGACAACGACAGAAGACAACGAUGACAGACAGAACAAGAAAGAAGAAGCAAGAAAAAGAGAGACAAAAAAGAAAGAAGCAGAAAAAAGCAUGAAGAAAAAGAAAGAAAAAUGAAAGGAAGAAAAUAAAAGAAGAAAGAAGCAGAAAGAUAAAGUAUUAAAGAUGACAGAAGAAGAUAGAUCUAAGUGACAGAAGAAGACAACGACAGAAGAAGACAACGAUGACAGACAGAACAAGAAAGAAGAAGCAAGAAAAAAAGAGACAAAAAAAGACAGAAAGAAAAGAAGCAGAAAAAAAGCAUGAAGAAAAAGACAGAAAAAAGGAAAGAAGAAAAAAAGAAAAAUGAAAGAAAGAAAAAAAGAAAGAAGCAGAAAGCCAAAGGUAAGAAGAAAGAAAAUAAUGUUUCUAUGGCUAUGUAUGGUAUUGCAGAACCCUUAUGUUGUCUUAUAGAUAAAAGUAUUAAAGACGACAGAAGAAGAUAGAAGAAAGCGACAGAAGAAGACAACGACAGAAGACAAUGAUGACAGACAGAAAAAGAAAGAAGAAGCAAGAAAAAGAGAGACAAAAAAAGAAAAAUAGAAAGAAAGAAAGAAAGAAAGAAAGGAAAGAAGCAGAAAAAAAGCACGAAGCAAAAGAAAGAAAAAUGAAAGAAAGAAAAUGAAAGAAGAAAGAAAGAUAAAGUUAAGAAGAAAGAAAAUAAUGUUUCUAUGCCUAUGUAUGGUAUUGCAGAACCCUUAUAUUGUCUUAUAGAAAAUUGUUUUACAGAAGACUCUUGUGUGGGUGCACUCUUGUAUUGAGUUGUUUAUAGGAAAAUAUUAAAACAUAACUUUUAUUAUCUGGUUAAUUUAAAAUAAAUCCACACUUACUUAGUCCACCACAAUUAGACAUAAGCUAUAAUGAUACAUAUAUAUGCCUCAGCCCGCCCGCAUCUCGGAGAGAUAACAUAUAUAAUUGAUGUGGCUGAUUAGUGUAAAAGGCUGGAGCGAGUAUGAGCAAAAGCCAGUCGAUUCGUAAAUUGGAAAAAUUGGAAAUGUUCUGGUUAGUCUAUGCUAAUAGACUUAAGGAGGGAUGUAGAUACUAUAGCUCUACACCCUGAUCCUAUCCCACCAGCACAAGCUCAGCUUGUGUUAAUUAGACCUCAAAGGGUCAAUGAACUGGACUGUUGUAGGGAGUAUAGA